AAGAUGUAUCAAUGUCUUACAUGGAGUUAUCACAUACAACAACUAUGUCAAGAUGAAUCAAUGUCUUACAUGGGGAUAUCACAUACAACAACUAUAUCAAGAUGAAUCAAUGUCUUACAUGGAGAUAUCACAUGGAGAUAUCACAUACAACAACUAUGUCAAGAUGUAUCAAAUGUUUUAGAUCAAACUAUAUGUCUACCUUUUAAAACUUCUACAUUUUACACAAUGUAAAGAUAAUGUACAUUUCACAAAAAUAGUUUGGCUCAACUGUCUAAUCUGGCAGCAUCUUUUCUUCAACCUCUGUAAAUAUUUUCAAUUGUUGGAUUGCAGUGGCAAUAAUAAUUAAAUAUCCACUGCUUUUUUUUUUUUUUUUUUU